rfam:Capsicum annuum cultivar Zunla-1 unplaced genomic scaffold scaffold949, whole genome shotgun sequence
ACCCUGUCACUGAUGAUGAUCUUAUUUUAUAUAUUCUCGGAGGACUUGAACAAGAAUAUGAUGCCGCAGUUGUCUUGGUCACUACUAGGGUUGAGUUAAUUUCAUUAGUCGAUCUCCAUGGUUUACUUUUAAGUCAAGAGU